UCUUGGCCAAUGGGCGCAAGCCUGAUCCAGCCAUGCCGCGUGAGUGAAGAAGGCCUUAGGGUUGUAAAACUCUUUCGCCGGAGAAGAUAAUGACGGUAUCCGGAGAAGAAGCCCCGGCUAACUUCGUGCCAGCAGCCGCGGUAAUACGAAGGGGGCUAGCGUUGUUCGGAAUUACUGGGCGUAAAGCGCACGUAGGCGGGUUUGUAAGUAGAGGGUGAAAUCCCAGGGCUCAACCCUGGAACUGCCUUCUAAACUACAAGCCUGGAGGUCAGGAGAGGCGAGUGGAAUACCGAGUGUAGAGGUGAAAUUCGUAGAUAUUCGGUGGAACACCAGUGGCGAAGGCGACUCGCUGACUGAUACUGACGCUGAGGUGCGAAA
rnacentral:rRNA from 1 species